rnacentral:rRNA from 1 species
AUUGAACGCUGGCGGCAGGCCUAACACAUGCAAGUCGAACGGUAACAGGAAGAAGCUUGCUUCUUUGCUGACGAGUGGCGGACGGGUGAGUAAUGUCUGGGAAACUGCCUGAUGGAGGGGGAUAACUACUGGAAACGGUAGCUAAUACCGCAUAACGUCGCAAGACCAAAGAGGGGGACCUUCGGGCCUCUUGCCAUCAGAUGUGCCCAGAUGGGAUUAGCUAGUAGGUGGGGUAACGGCUCACCUAGGCGACGAUCCCUAGCUGGUCUGGGAGGAUGACCAGCCACACUGGAACUGAGACACGGUCCAGACUCCUACGGGAGGCAGCAGUGGGGAAUAUUGCACAAUGGGUGCAAGCCUGAUGCAGCCAUGCCGCGUGUAUGAAGAAGGCCUUCGGGUUGUAAAGUACUUUCAGCGGGGAGGAAGGGAGUAAAGUUAAUACCUUUGCUCAUUGACGUUACCCGCAGAAGAAGCACCGGCUAACUCCGUGCCAGCCGCCGCAGUAA